rnacentral:rRNA from 1 species
GACGAACGCUGGCGGCGUGCCUAACACAUGCAAGUCGAACGGGGGUAUUUAUUUCGAUGAAUACCUUAGUGGCGAACGGGUGAGUAACGCGUGAGCAACCUAUCCUUAAGAGGGGGAUAACAUCUGGAAACAGAUGCUAAUACCGCAUAAGACCACACUGCCGCAUGGCAGAGGGGUCAAAGGAGCAAUCCGUUUAAGGAGGGGCUCGCGUCCCAUUCGAUAGUUGGUGAGGUAACAGCUCACCAAGUCAGCGAUGGGUAGCCGAGCUGAGAGGCUGAUCGGCCACCCUGGAACUGCGAGACGGUCCAGACUGCUACGGGAGGCAGCAGUGGGGAAUAUUGGGCAAUGGGGGGAACCCUGACCCAGCAACGCCGCGUGAGGGAAGAAGGCCUUCGGGUUGUAAACCUCUGUCAUUAGGGAAGAAGAAAGUGACGGUACCUAAUGAGGAAGCCCCGGCUAACUACGUGCCAGCAGCCGCCGUAAGAC